AGCAUGAGUUCGUAGUGGCCAGACCUGGGACAGGGAUCAGAGUUUGAAACGUACUGACCAAUGCAAGUGACCAGACUAUACUAGCUAGUUGCUUUUCAAGUCCUGCGACAGCGAGCUAGCGGUGACUCAACUCUCACAUGUGUUUGAACCCAUGUACACAUUCUGAAAAACAUGGCAGGAAAGGAAACCUUUGACAGUUACAUAGCAUGCCCGUGCGUGUUGCCUAUAUCCAUUCGUUGAGGGACAGGACAGGCUGCGCCCAAGAUUCUGAAUGAUGAAGCACAGAUCGAUGACCAUUAUUUUCUGUUUUUCAUGUGGGAAACUGCUGGCUAUGUGUACGUAAUGCAAAGUUAUAAGGGUCUUUUUUCUUAGGCGCCAUGACUUGAAUUUGACAGAGUGACAGACACAUGCACACUAUGCCAAGCUAGGCUCUAACCGUUCGAUGAUCAUCAGUUAGUCGUCAGAACUGCUCACUAAGAACAGCUGAAUUGUAUGCAUUUCUUCAGUGGUAGUGACAAAUCUGAGCUGAGCUGGCAAAUACUUUUCUUCUGUAUAGUGUUUUCCAUCAUUCUAUGCACAUGCUGUACAAAUUGUCAUUGUAUAAUAUAUAGUGAGAUACGGUAGUAAUUUUGAGGGAAAAAGGCAAAUUAAAGGGUCAUUUUUUAGGGAAAAAUUCCCGAUGCCUCCAUCCUAAACCGGUAGAAGAGAAAAACAAAAUAUUUUUUUUCCUAAAAUUCCCGAUGCAAAAUCUUCAGUAGAAAAGUAUAGUGACCUAAGUACAAAGCCUCCACAGUGUCCGGCUUAGGUAGAAGAGGAAAAUAAAAUAAAAAAAUUUCUAGAAUUCCUAAUACAAAAUCUUCUAUACACGUCAAAUAAGAAAUAUAGGGGCCCAAGUGCAAAGUGUUUAUCCUAUUAGUUUAUUUUUCUUUUAUUCUUUAAAUCGGUUCAAAAUUGAUAAAUACGUAGUAAUUCAUAAAAAAAUCUAAAAAUUAUAAAACAAAAUUUGUUCAGCUCCACAUAUGUAGAUCCAUGCAGUAAAUAAAAAAUAUCACAAAUUUUAGUAUAUUUUUUUGCUGAAGAUGCUUGUCUAUGCUUUUUAGUGUAAAAUUGAUCGGUUGAAAAUUGAUAAAUGCGUAGUAAUUCAUACAAAAAUCUAAAAAUGACAAAAUAAAUUUUGUUCAGCUCCAC
rnacentral:lncRNA from 1 species